UACGUAGGGUGCGAGCGUUAAUCGGAAUUACUGGGCGUAAAGCGUGCGCAGGCGGUUUUGUAAGCCAGAUGUGAAAGCCCCGGGCUUAACCUGGGAAUGGCAUUUGGGACUGCAAGGCUUGAGUGCGGCAGAGGAGACUGGAAUUCCCGGUGUAGCAGUGAAAUGCGCAGAUAUCAGGAGGAACACCGGUGGCGAAGGCGGGUCUCUGGGCCGAUACUGACGCUGAGGAGCGAAAGCGUGGGGAGCGAACAGG
rnacentral:rRNA from 1 species